rnacentral:rRNA from 1 species
GGGGACGAUCAAUAGCGGGUCUGAGAGGAUGAUCCGCCACACUGGCACUGAGAUACGGGCCAGACUCCUACGGGAGGCAGCAGUAGGGAAUAUUGGUCAAUGGGCGAGAGCCUGAACCAGCCAUGCCGCGUGCAGGAUGACGGCCUUCUGGGUUGUAAACUGCUUUUAUACAGGAAGAAAAAGGCCAUGCGUGGCCAAUUGACGGUACUGUAAGAAUAAGCACCGGCUAACUCCGUGCCAGCAGCCGCGGUAAUACGGAGGGUGCAAGCGUUGUCCGGAUUUAUUGGGUUUAAAGGGUGCGCAGGCGGUGCGUUAAGUCAGUGGUGAAAGCCUUCCGCUCAACGGGAGAAUUGCCAUUGAUACUGGUGCACUUGAGUACGGACGAGGUAAGCGGAAUUUAUGGUGUAGCGGUGAAAUGCAUAGAUACCAUAAAGAACACCGAUAGCGUAGGCAGCCUACUAGACCGUAACUGACGCUGACGCACGAAAGCGUAGGGGAGCGAACAGGAUUAGAUGACCUGGUAGUCCAUAGCUGUAACCGAUGAGGUGCUAGGUGUGGGAAUAGAAGUUCCGUGCCGAGCAAACGCGAUAAGCACCCCGCCUGGGAAUACGGUCGCAAGGCUAAAAUUCAAACAAAUUGACGGGGCCCCGCCCAAGCAGCGAAGAGUGUGGUUCAAUUGGAUAUUACAGGAAGACCUUUCCUUGGGUUGAACAUGUACGUGGUACGAAGGAGAUAGCCUAAUGUUCGUUCGGGAGGCGUACACGGGCAUGGCAGUGCUGUCGUCAGCUCGUGCCGUGAGGGGUUGGGUUGAGUCCCGUAACGAGCGCAACCCUUGCCUUUAGUUCCAAGUGUCUAA